CCUACGGGCGGCAGCAGUGAGGAAUAUUGGUCAAUGGGCGAGAGCCUGAACCAGCCACGCCGCGUGAGGGAGUACUGCCCUCUGGGUUGUAAACCUCUUUUGUCGGGGAGCAAAAGCCGGACGUGUCCGGCUGUGAGAGUACCCGAAGAAGAAGCAUCGGCUAACUCCGUCCCCGCAGCCGCGGUAAUACGGAGGAUGCGAGGGUUAUCCGGAUUUAGUGGGUUUAAGGGGUGCGCAGGCGGAUUGUUAAGUCAGCGGUAAAAUCGUGGGGCUCAACCCCAUCCAGCCGUUGAAACUGGGGAUCUAGAGUGUGCGAGAGGUAUGCGGAAUGCGUGGUGUAGCGGUGAAAUGCAUAGAUAUCACGCAGAACCCCGAUUGCGAAGGCAGCAUACCGGUGCACAACUGACGCUCAGGCACGAAAGCGUGGGUAUCGAACAGGAUUAGAUACCCUUGUAGUC
rnacentral:rRNA from 1 species